GAGGUUUUGAAACUUGGCGCUGUAUUGUACUGCACUUUGUCUUCGGACUUUUUUUGUUGUUGUUGUAACACCCAAAAUAUGAUUUUUAAUAGAGUUUAAUUGGAUUUAUUUAAGUAUUUUUAUGAGCAUUUAAUUUAGCACUUAAAUAAUUUUUAUGGAAAAUAAAAUCUAUCAUAAGGUUAGGAACAUGCUUGUGCAUACAUGCUGGAAUAUUUAUUUAUUUUACUGUGUGUUUGGUUUUAUUUGUGUUCAAAAUUCUAUUUAAAAAAUGAUUUGGAAAAGAAAAGAAAAGAAAAAAAAUGAAGAGAAGGUUUACCUGCUCUCAUCCCGUGGCCGAGGCCCAGCAUUCCUCCGCGGCCCAGCCUAAUUCCUCCCUCCCCGAGCGUGCACCCCACCCUCUCUCUGUUGGCUGAUGACCGGGCCCCACCUCCUUUCUCUCCCUAUCCGGCUGACGCGCUGACCCCACCUGGCGGCGCCCCAUCUUCUUCCUCUCGCCGUGAGCGAAUUGGACUCGGCCGAGACCACCGACGCCGAACCAAACCUUCCCAAUCCCAAAAACCCCGGGAUUUGGAUUUCCCUGCUAAAGCGCCC
rnacentral:lncRNA from 1 species